CAUGCAAGUCAUACGGGAGUUUUUAACUCAAGUGGCGGACGGGUGAGUAACGCGUGAGAAUUUGCCUUUAGGAGGGGGAUAACAACUGGAAACGGUUGCUAAUACCCCAUAUGCUUCCGAGUGAAAUGGAGUAAUCCGCCUAAAGAGAAGCUCGCGUCUGAUUAGCUUGUUGGUGAGGUAAUGGCUCACCAAGGCGACGAUCAGUAUCUGGUUUGAGAGGACGACCAGACACACUGGAACUGAGACACGGUCCAGACUCCUACGGGAGGCAGCAGUGGGGAAUUUUCCGCAAUGGGCGAAAGCCUGACGGAGCAAUACCGCGUGAGGGAAGAAUGCCUACGGGUUGUAAACCUCUUUUAUCAGGGAGGAAUAAAAUGACGUGUACCUGAUGAAUAAGCAUCGGCUAACUCUGUGCCAGCAGCCGCGGUAAGACAGAGGAUGCAAGUGUUAUCCGGAAUUACUGGGCGUAAAGCGUCUGUAGGUUGUUAAACAAGUCAACUGUUAAAUCUUGAAGCUCAACUUCAAAAUCGCAGUCGAAACUGUUUAACUAGAGUAUAGUAGAGGUAAAGGGAAUUUCCAGUGGAGCGGUGAAAUGCGUAGAUAUUGGGAAGAACACCGAUGGCGAAAGCACUUUACUGGGCUAUUACUGACACUCAGAGACGACAGCUAGGGUAGCAAAUGGGAUUAGAUACCCCAGUAGUCCUAGCCGUAAACUAUGGAUACUAGAUGUUGAACAGAUCGACCUGUGCAGUAUUAAAGCUAACGCGUUAAGUAUCCCGCCUGGGAAGUAUGCUCGCAAGAGUGAAACUCAAAUGAAUUGACGGAAGGGCGAAUUC
rnacentral:rRNA from 1 species